UACGGAGGGGGCUAGCGUUGUUCGGAAUUACUGGGCGUAAAGCGCACGUAGGCGGCUUUGUAAGUUAGAGGUGAAAGCCCAGGGCUCAACCCUGGAAUUGCCUUUAAGACUGCAUCGCUUGAACAUCGGAGAGGUAAGUGGGAUUCCGAGUGUAGAGGUGAAAUUCGUAGAUAUUCGGAAGAACACCAGUGGCGAAGGCGACUUACUGGACGAUUGUUGACGCUGAGGUGCGAAAGCGUGGGGAGCAAACAGG
rnacentral:rRNA from 1 species